rnacentral:rRNA from 1 species
CCUACGGGGGGCAGCAGUCGGGAAUAUUGCGCAAUGGAGGAAACUCUGACGCAGUGACGCCGCGUAUAGGAAGAAGGUUUUCGGAUUGUAAACUAUUGUCGUUAGGGAAGAUAAAAGUCUGUAUCUAAGGAGGAAGCCCCGGCUAACUAUGCGCCAGCAGCCGCGGUAAUACAUAGGGGGCAAGCGUUAUCCGGAAUUAUUGGGUGUAAAGGGUGCGUAGACGGAAGAACAAGUUGGUUGUGAAAUCCCGCGGCGUAACUGAGGAACUGCCACCAAAAAUAAUGUCCUUGAGUGUUGGAGAGGAAAGUGGAAUUCCGUGUGUAGCGGUGAAAUGCGUAGAUAUUAGGAGGAACACCAGUGGCGAAGGCGGCUUUCUGGACGGUAACUGACGUUGAGGCACGAAAGUGUGGGGAGCAAACAGGAUUAGAUACCCUUGUAGUC